rnacentral:rRNA from 1 species
CACGUAGGGGGCGAGCGUUGUCCGGAAUCAUUGGGCGUACAGGGUGCGUAGGCGGCGCGGUAAGUCGGGUGUGAAAUCUUGGAGCUUAACUCCGAAACUGCAUUCGAUACUGCCGUGCUUGAGGACUGGAGAGGAGACUGGAAUUUACGGUGUAGCGGUGAAAUGCGUAGAUAUCGUAAGGAAGACCAGUGGCGAAGGCGGGUCUCUGGACAGUUCCUGACGCUGAGGUACGAAGGCCAGGGGAGCAAACGGG